rnacentral:rRNA from 1 species
CUACGGGCUGCAGCAGUGGGGAAUAUUGCACAAUGGGCGCAAGCCUGAUGCAGCCAUGCCGCGUGUAUGAAGAAGGCCUUCGGGUUGUAAAGUACUUUCAGCGGGGAGGAAGGGAGUAAAGUUAAUACCUUUGCUCAUUGACGUUACCCGCAGAAGAAGCACCGGCUAACUCCGUGCCAGCAGCCGCGGUAAUACGGAGAGUGCAAGCGUUAAUCGGAAUUACUGGGCGUAAAGCGCACGCAGGCGGUUUGUUAAGUCAGAUGUGAAAUCCCCGGGCUCAACCUGGGAACUGCAUCUGAGACUGGCAAGCUUGAGUCUCGUAGAGGGGGGUAGAAUUCCAGGUGUAGCGGUGAAAUGCGUAGAGAUCUGGAGGAAUACCGGUGGCGAAGGCGGCCCCCUGGACGAAGACUGACGCUCAGGUGCGAAAGCGUGGGGAGCAAACAGGAUUAGAUACCCUCGUAGUC